rnacentral:tRNA from 1 species
GUCCCGUUGGCGCAAUGGUAGCGCGUAGCUUUCCGGUUCCAGUGGAAGUUAUUUGGCUAAGGUUGCAGGUUCGAGUCCUGUGCGGGACG